AGUGCAAGCCGAGCGGCCGCUCCGUGAUCUCACGGUCUCCCUUUUAGGGCGGAGACGGUAGUGGUAUGGAUGGGAUGCGACUUCCGGGUCACACCCCUGAAAUAAUGGUCACGGGGAGGAAAGUCCGGACACCAGAGAGCAGGGUGCUGGGUAACGCCCAGUCGGGGAAACCCGCAGGCAAGUGCCACAGAAAACAGACCGCGGGCCUGGUGGUUCGGAGCAUUGCUUCGGAGCACCGGCGCGUAAGGGUGAAAAGGUGCGGUAAGAGCGCACCGGAGGCGUGGUGACACGUCUGCCAGGUAAACCCCACCCGGUGCAAGGCCAAAUAGGAGGGUGUAUUCGGGUUGCUCGCCCGGCCCUCGGGUAGGCUGCUAGAGGGAUGCGGCGACGUAUCCUCCAGAUAGAUGGCCGCAUAGAACAGAAUCCGGCUUACGGGCUUGCUGAACCA
rnacentral:RNase_P_RNA from 1 species